AUUGAACGCUAGCGGCAGGCUUAAUACAUGCAAGUCGAGGGGUAGCAAGAUUGUAGCAAUACAAUUGUUGACGACCGGCAAACGGGUGCGGAACACGUACACAACCUUCCUACAAGUGGGGAAUAGCCCAGAGAAAUUUGGAUUAAUACCCCGUAACAUAGCGAUGUGGCAUCACAUUGCUAUUUUAGCUUCGGCGCUUGUUGAUGGGUGUGCGGCUGAUUAGAUAGUUGGCGGGGUAACGGCCCACCAAGUCUACGAUCAGUAGCUGAUGUGAGAGCAUGAUCAGCCACACGGGCACUGAGACACGGGCCCGACUCCUACGGGAGGCAGCAGUAAGGAAUAUUGGACAAUGGACGCAAGUCUGAUCCAGCCAUGCCGCGUGAAGGAUUAAGGUCCUCUGGAUUGUAAACUUCUUUUAUAAGGGACGAAAAAAGGUCUUUCUAGAUCGUCUGACGGUACCUUAUGAAUAAGCACCGGCUAACUCCGUGCCAGCCGCCGCGGUAAGAC
rnacentral:rRNA from 1 species